AUAAAAAGUAAAGCUUGUCAGCAGAAGGAAGCAUGAUGUGCUCUAAAUGUUCCUGGUCGGUGGCUGCGUUGACUGUGGACUUCAGAAAACACAGUGGACCAACACCAGCAGAUGACACGGUGCCACAAAUCAUCACUGACUGUGGAAACUUCACACUGGACCUCAAGCAAAGGAGAUUCUGCGCCUCUCCACUCUCCCCCCAGACUCUGGGACCUUGAUUUCCCAAUGACGUGAACAUUUUACUUUCAUCUGAAAAGAGGACUUUGGACCACUGAGCAACAGUCCAGUUCUUUUUCUCCUCAGCCCAGGUUCUAUGGAAACUUGUUUCUGGACCAGGACUCGUCUGCCCUCACAGAUGCUGACAUGUCCAUUCAGCUGGCUCCUGAUUGGCCGAUGGGAUACUUCUGUGAACUGAUGGGGUUAAAGCUCAUUUAGCUUCUUUCCUCUGGACUGGUUGUCGUCCUCUCAGUGUGUUGCAGACGUUUGAUAGUCCUUCAUCCA